AUUGAACGCUGGCGGCAUGCCUUACACAUGCAAGUCGAACGGAAACACGACGAAAGGUGUCGUCUAGUGUUGGCGGGGGGCGUAAGGCUUAGGCAUGUGUCAACUACUGAUAGAUCUCUGCUCGCAACGGUAGAUAAUAGCGCAUACCAUCUAAGAUAGUGAACGGGAGACUGCAAUGGUUCGAGCGAUUUUUGCGGCCGCUGUCAGAUUAGGUAGUUGGUGGGGUAAAGGCUCACCAAGUCAACGAUCCGUAGCUGGUCUGAGAGGAUGAGCGGCCACACUGGAACUGAGACACGGUCCAGACUCCUACGGGAGGCAGCAGUGGGGAAUCUUGGACAAUGGGCGCAAGCCUGAUCCAGCAAUGCCGCGUGCGUGAAGAAGGCCUUCGGGUUGUAAACUUCUUUUGUUCGGAAAGAAAAGACGCGGGUUAAUACCCGGACGUAUUGACGGUACCGAAAGAAUAAGCACCGGCUAACUACGUG
rnacentral:rRNA from 1 species